rnacentral:rRNA from 1 species
CCUACGGGUGGCAGCAGUAGGGAAUAUUGCUCAAUGGGGGAAACCCUGAACCAGCCACGCCGCGUGGAGGAUGAAGGUUUUAGGAGUGUAAACCCCUUUUGUGAGAGGAGAUAAUGCCGGUAUCCCUCCCAUAAGCACCGGCUAACUCCGUGACAGCAGCCGCGGUAAUACGGCGGGUGCAAGCGUUACUCGGAAUCACUGGGCGUAAAUGGGGUGCAGGCGGGGCUGUAAGUCAGAUGUGAAAUCCUGGAGCUUAACUACAGAAUUGCAUUUGAAACUAUGAGUCUAGAGUGUGGGAGAGGUAGGCGGAAGUCGUGGUGUAGGGGUAAAAUGCGUAGAUAUCAAGAGGAAUACUGAUUGCGAAGGCGACCUACUGGCACCUUACUGACGCUCAUGCACGAAAGCGUGGGGAGCAAACAGGAUUAGAUACCCCAGUAGUC